rnacentral:lncRNA from 1 species
AUCCUUAACCUACUGAGCAAGGCCAGGGAUUGAACUUGCAUCCUCAUGGAUACUAGCUGGAUUUGUUUCCACAACACCACAACAGGAACUCACCCCAAAUCCCCUCUCUAUUAACUAUUAUGGAGGUUUCACAUGGUACCAUAAUCAACAAUUAACCAACCCUCCAUCUCAUAGACUCUUACAAUUAUGCAACAUAUGCUGUUCAAACUUGACUUAGCACACAGUAAUACUUAAUGAAAUUUGAUGAAUGAUAGGAUGUCUAUGAUGAUAAUGGUUAAAAAAUAAAUAAAAUGUAGUUACAGAGAAAAUAGGUCACCAAAAAUAAUGCCAAAGAGCAGAAAGGAGGAAAUUCUUUCUGGCAAAUUCUUGCAUAUUUUGAUAAUUAAAUAAUCCAAAGAACUCUAAAGCAUUAUUUGGUAAGAAUGAAGACAAAUGACUGAUCAAUACAAUAUAAUGGCAUAGGACCUGAAAGAAUUUCAACGUGUUAACAUCUAUUAUUGAGAUAUCAAAUCAUAUUGUAGUGGGUUCCUCUUUAUUAUUAUUAGUGACAGAACCAUAUUCAACAAUCCCCAUUCCAUCACAAUUAAGGAAAUUUCAGCUGAGUUACUGAGCCUUUAAAACUUAAAUAAGUUAGCACUUAAAAUGGAAUAAUUACAAUAGCUUUUAUAAUUAAGAAACAAGAUACUCUGGAGCAUUGCAUUUCUGCAGAAUUAUUGCACGUCUCAAGCACAUUAAGACCACGACCAAAGGCACAGUUGCAUUAGCCUCUUGGGGAAUACGCUAAUCCCUAGAAAUCCACUGCUUAGGAAGCUUGUUGUGCAUAUGGAUUUUUUUUCUCAGUAUUUAAAUAUCAGCUCUGGUAAAAUCUGUGCUGAGUGUCCUGUCCACCACACAAUUUCAAUUUGUAUCUGGAAAAAGCAUGGCUUUUUACCAACAUGGAUAUUUAAAUAUUGGACAAAUGGCAAAACACCAUCAUCACAUGCUUUAUUAUAUUUUACCUAAAUUUACGUAUCACCAUAGGAAGUUGUAACAAUACUUACCUAGAACCUUACCUAUAUGCAUACACAGAUGUAAUAUUUUGCAUAAUUGCAAUUAUGAAAAUUAAAGAGUACUGCACUGCACUGGAAUUUAAAAGCAGGGCAAUCACCUAACAAACUAUUGAAGAAAACAGCCCCUAAAAUAGUAAACAGUUUUUUUCCAAGUAAAACUUGUUACAAGAAUCUAAAAAAAAAUAAGACAUCUCCUGAAUGUGUUAAAGCAUAACCACUUAUAAAAUGCUAUUCUCAUUUUACUUUUUCAUACCUCUCCUUAUAUCACACCGUGGGAGUCAUAAUGAUUUCACACUCAAAACUCUUUCAACAAUCAAAACUAACUAUAAAAAAAGAUUUAGUUCAAAUACGUGUUCUAUAUGAUUUUGUUGAGACUGUUAUGCUGGCCAGCUGAUAAUGGGUGUUUUAUUGCAAUGUAUCCCAUUUAUUAAUAAGUAUGUAGAGCUAAGCAUAUCUAUUAUAGCUGUAUAAAAUAUGUAAUGUCAAAGUCAAAUGCAUUUUUACAGAGAAAAUAAUGACAAAGGAAUACUGUUUUAAAGUUCAUUUUAAAAUAAAAAUCUGUCAAACAUGUUUUUAAAUUUAGAAUCCAGCUAGGUACAAUGCUAACUUACCACCCAUGCUGACAAGAAGUUAAAUUCUAUUCUAUUCUAGGUAUAUUAUUAUAUUGUUUUAAUACUCCCCACAUAUCCUAUCAUUUCCAAAGCCUUGAGGAAUGUCACUUGGAUUAUCACGGGAGUUUGGAGGCAACAGUUACUUCUUCUUACCACACUCCUCCAAGCUUACAAAUAGCAAAAUCACAUGGGCAGGCAGACUUGAAGUAUUUCCUGGUCUUGUUCACUAAUCUUUAUCAGUGACUGAGGAGGAAAAGCAGGAAGGGAAGCAUAUGUCACAGCAAGAUGAAUAAAUGGGAAGUAAGGGAAUCCACUGGUAUAAACGGGGGUAAGUCUCUUUGCUUCAUUUUCUAACAGUUUAGACAACUGACAUUCAAUUUGGAGACUUCACAUUACUCAAGUUAUUAUGACCUUUAGGAGCAUUUUCCCAGCUCUAAGGAGAAUGCCUAUCAGAAAAACAGGUACAUUGAGUAACCAAAUGCAAGGCUAAUUAAACUCUUUAGUGCAGAGUGAGGAGACCAACAGUAGUUCUGCACUAAAGCAGAAAGCCUCCUAUUUCAACAGAUGGUAACAAUAUGAUUCUUCGAAGAGCACUCAGUGCAAUUUACAAGACAAUCAUAAUAAUCAAGCUUCCAACAUAAAGAUACCACAGACCAUGUGUGGAACACUCUAAGACAUCAUGCAAAACCAUAACAGAUACAUUAAGCACAGCCCCUGCCCUAGCUCACAAGGUAUGCAAACACACAAGUGGAGUAUGUAUUUCAGCAUUUGGUCAGCGGUUGCUUAGAUGAUGAAGAUAAAGAGUACUUCACCAAAAUAGGGUCCAGGGCCUCUGGAAAAAACUCCCUGAAUUGCCUACCUGAAUUAAGCAAAUAGACACACUUAUAUCAGCAACUUCCUGCCAAGAGAGAGUCACCAAAUGCAACAACUUCCUCAGCUUUUUACAUGAUUUCAUCACAUUCACUCCAUUAAUCACAGAUGCAUGUGCACACUUUGGCUGAUUAAGGUAGAUUACCACCGUUCACUUCUCAAAAGCUUAUGAGUCCUGAGAAGGAUCAGGAUGAUGGAGGAGUAAGACGUCACGCUCGCCUUCUCCCACAAACACAUCCAAAGAAUACAUGUACAUGUAAAACAAUUCACACAGAACAUCUACUGAUCACUGGCAGAUGAACUUAAACCUCCAAAAAGAGCAAGAAACUCUUGACAUAACUGGGUGGAACAAAAGAAAAGGAGUAAAAGAAUCAGGGCAGGACUAGUAUUCCUGAGAGGGAGCUGUGAAAGAGAAAGUAACCAACAUCCUGAGAAGCCACCUACUUGACGGGGAGAUCAGUCCAGACGAAGGGACCUCAAGUUUCUGAGAAAAGCACAGCAUCAGGUCGACAGAGGAGGGCAAGGUAGUGUGAGAGCCACACAGAUCAUCUACACCACCUCCACGGACAGCACAGCCUAAGGUGCUCAGGCAGGGGCUGGGCACUGAGACUCAGACUCCCGAGGUCAGCUCUGGGGAGAGGACUAGGGUUAGCUGUGAGGGAACAGUCUGAGGGGCUAAGGAGCAGUGUGCCACAGGUGGGGGAGUGGUAUGCUAUGGGCGGGGAGUGGUAUGCUAUGGGCGGGGAGUGGAAUGCCAUGGCAGAGGGAACCCAGGAGGAGGUCUGGUCCCACAGGAGAAGCAAGGUGCCAUUGCUGGGGAAGGGGAGAGGAGGAGGGGCAGACUGCCAUAGGAAACUCCCUCCACACGCACAGGCUCUCAGAGGGCGGGGUGCCUCUGGCACAGGCAGAGAAGCCACUAGCUCAGGCUAUGGGAAACCUGGCACUUCUUUUUUUUUUUUUUUAAUUUUUUUUGUCUUUUUGCUAUUUCUUGGGCCGCUCCUGCGGCAUAUGGAGGUUCCCAGGCUAGGGGUCGAAUCGGAGCUGUAGCCACCGGCCUAUGCCAGACCCACAGCAACGAGGGAUCCGAGCCGCGUCUGCGGCCUACACCUCAGCUCACGGCAAUGCCGUACCCUUAACCCACUGAGCAAGGGCAGGGACCGAACCCGCAACCUCAUGGUUCCUAGUCGGAUUCAUUAACCACUGCGCCAUGACGGGAACUCCUCAGGCACUUCUGUGUGGGCUACAGGUGGCUGGGCAGCUCUUCUGUGGGCUAAGGGCAACAGGGGGCUAAGCGCGACAUGGUACCUCUUGCGUGAUCUACAGGUGGCAUGGCAGUCAUCUCAAAGCCAGAGGGAGGGAUGACCUGUCACCACUGGGGGCCUAUGAGUGGCUUCCACCUGUGUCCCCAGUCCCCUCAGGGUUUGGUAAAAAAAAGGGGGGGGCACUGCAACCAAGCACCACCCAUUGUUGCUCUCACUCCACUGGGAACACACCUACCAUUUGGCAGCCACCACUGCCAAAUGCUCUAGGUAGUGCUUAGACACUUGAUCACUGUAGCCUCCCAAAACCCUGUAACUAGAGUAGCUGGUGCAGUAUAUCCUGUGCGGGCUAAGCAGGACAAGGUGCUUCUUGAGUGGUCUGCAGACAGUGGGGGCAAACCACCACAGUUAUCCCUGACUCCAGAGGUGGGCAUGACCUGUCACCAGUAGGGGGUCUGUGAACAGGCACCACUUGCGGCCCCAAGGACCUCAAGGGUACCACAGAGGAGGGCAUUGUGACAGAACACCACAUGUUGUUGCUCUUGCUCCCCUGGGAGCAUACCCAUCCUGCUGCUUCCACUGCCAAACACUCUGGACAGUGCCCAGAGGCUUGAUCACUGUCCUUUCCCUGGAACCUACAAUUAGGAGCAGAAUCAUCAGCACCUCCUGUGUGGGUUAAGUGGGACAGGGUGCUUCUUCUUGCAUGGUAUACAGGUGGUGGGAGCAAACCACUGCUGCUAUCACUGACUCCAGAGGUGGGCAUGGCCUGCUACCACUAGAGGUCCCUGAAGAGCCACCACUUGCAGCCCCAAUCACCUCAGAGGAGGGCAUUGCAACAGAACACUAACUAUUGUUGCUGUCACUCCCUUGGGAACUCACACACCCUGCUGCUACCAUUGCUGAAUGCUCUGAGUGCCUCGUAAAUCUGUCUAGGGCUCAUUACCUCUUUCCAGGGCCCUGAAACUAGGAAUAGCCUGUGCCACCUUCCUUCAGGUCCUUGCUGCUAUUAAAGAGCCCAGCAACCAGGCACUGACUACUAUCCCUACCCAGUGCCUCCUUCUUCCUGGAGAUACACUCAGCACCCUGGGGACAACAGCCUGCUCAUACCGAAGAAAGAGACAGCAAAUAUCCAAACUCCCACACAAAAAAUAAAUAGUAACCCCCCAGAAAAUACAAAGGGGUGCCCUUGCAUAAAAGUAGCCCUCCAAGACUACAGGUUGGCUUUCCUAAAUUCACAGAAAAAGAAAAACAUAAGAAAGAUGAAGAAGCUCAGAAACCAUUCCCAGUUAAAAAAACAGGAGAAUUCACCUGAAGCAGCAAACAAUGAAAUAGACCUCUGCAGUCUGACAGACAAUGAGUUC